rnacentral:rRNA from 1 species
AUUGAACGCUGGCGGCGUGCCUAAUACAUGCAAGUCGAACGCAGUGGGGACGGGUGAGUAACACGUGGGUAACCUCCCAUCAGAGGGGAAAACACUUGGAAAAAGGUGCUAAACCGAUACUGAUGGAUGGAGCCGCGGUGCAUUAGCUAGUUGGUGGGGUAACGGCGCACCAAGGCAACGAUGCAUAGCCGCCCUGAGAGGUUGAUCGGUCAUACUGGGAGUGAGACACGGCCCAUACUCCUACGGGAGGCAGCAGUGGGGAAUCUUCGGCAAUGGACGAAAGUCUGACCGAGCAACGCCGCGUGAGUGAAGAAGGUUUUCGGAUCGUAAAACUCUGUUGUUAGAGAAGCGGGAUCUAACGAGAAAGCCACGGCUAACUACGUGCCAGCAGCCGCGGUAAUAG